rnacentral:rRNA from 1 species
AGCGAACGCUGGCGGCAGGCCUAACACAUGCAAGUCGAACGAAGCCUUCGGGCUUAGUGGCGGACGGGUGAGUAACACGUGGGAACGUACCUUUUGGUUCGGAAUAACGCAGAGAAAUUUGCGCUAAUACCGAAUGAGCCCUUCGGGGGAAAGAUUUAUCGCCGUAAGAUCGGCCCGCGUUGGAUUAGGUAGUUGGUGUGGUAAAGACGCACCAAGCCUACGAUCCAUAGCUGGUCUGAGAGGAUGAUCAGCCACACUGGGACUGAGACACGGCCCAGACUCCUACGGGAGGCAGCAGUGGGGAAUCUUGCGCAAUGGGCGAAAGCCUGACGCAGCCAUGCCGCGUGAAUGAUGAAGGUCUUAGGAUUGUAGAAUUCUUUUACCAGGGACGAUAAUGACGGUACCCGGAGAAAAAGCCCCGGCUAACUUCGUGCCAGCCGCCGCUGUAAAAC